rnacentral:rRNA from 1 species
UACGUAGGGCGCAAGCGUUGUCCGGAAUUAUUGGGCGUAAAGAGCUUGUAGGCGGUUUGUCGCGUCUGCUGUGAAAUCUCAAGGCUCAACCUUGAGCUUGCAGUGGGUACGGGCAGACUAGAGUGUGGUAGGGGAGUCUGGAAUUCCUGGUGUAGCGGUGAAAUGCGCAGAUAUCAGGAGGAACACCGAUGGCGAAGGCAGGUCUCUGGGCCACUACUGACGCUGAGAAGCGAAAGCAUGGGGAGCGAACAGG